GCCGGAAUAGCUCAGUUGGUAGAGCAGAGGACUGAAAAUCCUCGUGUCACCAGUUCCA
rnacentral:tRNA from 1 species